rnacentral:rRNA from 1 species
UGUUUCGGCUAGGGGGCCAUCCCGGCUUACCAACCCGAUGCAAACUGCGAAUACCGGAGAAUGUUAUCACGGGAGACACACGGCGGGUGCUAACGUCCGUCGUGAAGAGGGAAACAACCCAGACCGCCAGCUAAGGUCCCAAAGUCAUGGUUAAGUGGGAAACGAUGUGGGAAGGCCCAGACAGCCAGGAUGUUGGCUUAGAAGCAGCCAUCAUUUAAAGAAAGCGUAAUAGCUCACUGGUCGAGUCGGCCUGCGCGGAAGAUGUAACGGGGCUAAACCAUGCACCGAAGCUGCGGCAGCGACGCUGAUGCGUUGUUGGGUAGGGGAGCGUUCUGUAAGCCUGCGAAGGUGGCCUGUGAGGGUUGCUGGAGGUAUCAGAAGUGCG